rnacentral:rRNA from 1 species
UACGAAGGGGGCUAGCGUUGCUCGGAAUCACUGGGCGUAAAGGGUGCGUAGGCGGGUCUUUAAGUCAGGGGUGAAAUCCUGGAGCUCAACUCCAGAACUGCCUUUGAUACUGAAGAUCUUGAGUUCGGGAGAGGUGAGUGGAACUGCGAGUGUAGAGGUGAAAUUCGUAGAUAUUAGCUAGAACACCAGUGGCGAAGGCGGCCAACUGGUCCGGUACGUGACGCUGAGGUGACGAAAGCGUGGGGAGCAAACAGGG